rnacentral:rRNA from 1 species
UCAAGUGAAUAAGUGCACACGGUGGAUGCCUUGGCGACAACAGGCGAAGAAGGACGUGGAAAUCUGCGAAAAGCCCCGGGAAGCUGAUAACAAGCAAUGAUCCGGGGAUCUCCGAAUGGGGCAACCCGACCUUAGGGUCAUCCGUAGUUGAAUACAUAGACUGCGGAAGCGAACCGGGAGAACUGAAACAUCUAAGUACCCCGAGGAAAAGAAAUCAACCGAGAUUCCGCAAGUAGCGGCGAGCGAACGCGGAGAAGCCCAAUUAAGUUGCGUAUGAGCUAGUAGAACAUCCUGGGAAGGAUGGCCAUAGAGGGUGAUAGCCCCGUAUACGAAAGCCAUACACAAUGAAUCGAGUAGGGCGGGACACGUGAAAUCCUGUCUGAAGAUGGGGGGACCAUCCUCCAAGGCUAAAUACUCGUUGUCGACCGAUAGUGAACCAGUACCGUGAGGGAAAGGCGAAAAGAACCCUGGUGAAGGGAGUGAAAUAGAACCUGAAACCGUGUGCAUACAAGCAGUCAGAGCAUAUGAAGAUAUGUGAUGGCGUACCUUUUGUAUAAUGGGUCAGCGAGUUACAUUCAGUGGCGAGGUUAACCGAAUAGGGGAGCCGUAGCGAAAGCGAGUCUUAAUAGGGCGAUAAGUCUCUGGGUGUAGACCCGAAACCGGGCGAUCUAUCCAUGGGCAGGUUGAAGGUUGAGUAACAUCAACUGGAGGACCGAACCCACGCAUGUUGAAAAAUGCGGGGAUGACCUGUGGAUAGGAGUGAAAGGCUAAACAAGCUCGGAGAUAGCUGGUUCUCCCCGAAAACUAUUGAGGUAGUGCCUUGUAGAUUGACUUACGGGGGUAGAGCACUGUUUCGGCUAGGGGGUCAUACCGACUUACCAACCCGAUGCAAACUCCGAAUACCGUAAAGUUUUACUACAGGAGACACACGGCGGGUGCUAACGUCCGUCGUGAAGAGGGAAACAACCCAGACCGCCAGCUAAGGUCCCGAAAUGACAGUUCAGUGGGAAACGAAGUGGGAAGGCUUAGACAGCUAGGAGGUUGGCUUAGAAGCAGCCAUCCUUUAAAGAAAGCGUAAUAGCUCACUAGUCGAGUCGUCCUGCGCGGAAGAUUUACCGGGGCUAAACUGUCUACCGAAGCUGCGGAUUUGCAUGAAGAUGCAAGUGGUAGGGGAGCGUUGUGUAAGCCGAAGAAGGUGUGUUGAGAAGCAUGCUGGAGGUAUCACAAGUGCGAAUGCUGACAUGAGUAACGAUAAUGCGGGUGAAAAACCCGCACACCGAAAACCCAAGGUUUCCUGCGCAACGCUAAUCGGCGCAGGGUGAGUCGGCCCCUAAGGCGAGGCGGAAACGCGUAGUCGAUGGGAAACAGGUUAAUAUUCCUGUACUGAUCAUAAUUGCGAUGGGGGGACGGAGAAAGCUAGGCCAGCACACUGUUGGAUGUGUGUUUAAGCGCGUAGGUUGGGGAUUUAGGCAAAUCCGGGUUCCUAAGACUGAAACGUGAUGACGAGUUUCUACGGAAACGAAGUGGUUGAUGCUCUGCUUCCAGGAAAAGCCUCUAAGCUUCAGAUUAUGACAACCGUACCCCAAACCGACACAGGUGGGUAGGAAGAGAAUUCCAAGGUGCUUGAGAGAACUCGGGUAAAGGAACUCGGCAAAAUGAUACCGUAACUUCGGGAUAAGGUAUGCCUCUGAUGGUGAAUAGCUGUUGGAGGCCGCAGAGAAUAGGCCGCUGCGACUGUUUAUCAAAAACACAGCACUCUGCAAACACGCAAGUGGACGUAUAGGGUGUGACGCCUGCCCGGUGCCGGAAGGUUAAUUGAUGGGGUGCAAGCUCUUGAUCGAAGCCCCGGUAAACGGCGGCCGUAACUAUAACGGUCCUAAGGUAGCGAAAUUCCUUGUCGGGUAAGUUCCGACCUGCACGAAUGGCGUAACGAUGGCGGCGCUGUCUCUACCCGAGACUCAGUGAAGUUGAAAUCGCUGUGAAGAUGCAGUGUACCCGCGGCAAGACGGAAAGACCCCGUGAACCUUCACUACAGCUUGACACUGAACAUUGAAAUAAGUUGCAUAGGAUAGGUGGGAGGCUUUGAAGCAGAGACUCUGGUUUCUGUGGAGCCGACCUUGAAAUACCACCCUGCUUAUUUUGAUGUUCUAACGUAGACCCGUAAUCCGGGUUGCAGACAGUGUCUGGUGGGUAGUUUGACUGGGGCGGUCUCCUCCCAAAGAGUAACGGAGGAGUGCGAAGGUGGGCUCGGUGCGGUCGGAAAUCGCACCAAGAGUG